UGCUGCAGGCACAAGAAAAAGCACUGUUUUCUUACUGAUGAAAGCCACUACACCCAGCACACAAACACAUCAAAGAAUCUAGUCGUCGGACAAACUCACCCUGAGAUCCUACUGACCCAAUCCAAGAAGCCCACUGCAGCCACAAGGAAGAGCAUCAGAUGCAGUCAAUCAACAUCCACGGCACCAGAUCAAGGUGAGCAAGGCGUCCGAACGAAGACAAGGCAACAAACCUUCCUGUAACGACGGACCUUCCCAGGCCUAGGUCACCGACGCCAUGGCCGCCUCUGCACCUGCACAAGGACAUCCAGAACACGCACAUCAUCUAAAGGCAAGACAAAUCCAAAGCAGAAGAAGAAGAGGAAGAUGCGAUCAACGGCCGGAGCUCAGAGAUAUGCUCGAUGCGGUUUGGGCGGGGAAACAGGUGGAGGCACGAGCCGGGGAAUCGAAAGCUAGGUUUGCAGCCGGGGCGAGAGGAACAAGAAAGUGGGGGCAAGGAUAAGGGAGGAGCGGCGAGAACAUAUCUUGACGCCGACCGGAGCGCGCAUCGAGACCCACGCUCCGAUGGGACGGCCUCGGCAUCGGCAGAGAGGAGUGGGGCGCACCAAAUCAGGGUUUCUUCCAAUGCCACCAAAUCAGGGUGGUGGAUUUGGCAGAGUCUACAAAGGGUAUAUCACCAAAGAUCUCCGCGAAGGGUUAGAGAUAGAAGAACCGCUGAGAGUUGCCGUUAAAGUCCAUGAUGGUGACAAUAGCUUGCAGGGCCAUAGGGAGUGGCUGUCUGAGGUUAUAUUUCCAGGGCAGCUCUCUCACCCAAAUUUAGUGAAGUUGAUUGGGUAUUGUUGUGAAGACGACCACAGGGUUCUUGUUUACGAGUUCAUGCCCCUGGGAAGUGUGGAGUCCCAUCUGUUUUCAAAGUGGAAUGCUGAUUAGUGGUAAAAUGGCCCAAAUGAGUCAUUGGAGAAUAAGAAUAUGAAGUACCAUCCAUUACUAUUGCAGGUAUCUUACCAUCCAUUAUUUGGAGUCUUGUCUAUCCACUGUCUGUUAUUUAAUUAUUUUGUAGAUCUCCUAUUGAUCGUAUUCAGCUCUGACUUCUAGAAUUAUUUUUGUUUGCUUAAUUGCAAUGUCUCAUAAACCUGUCUAACCAUUUGUUAUGUUUUAUUAGCCAAUAUAAUUUUUUGGCUCUUUGUCAGGUCAUUAUAAAAGCCUCUUUGUCAGGUCAUUCUUCACAUGUUGGAAUCACUUCUUUUUGUUUCCUCUCAGCAUAUGGUUUUGUGAAAGUUGAAUCUCCCUGUUUGAUAGAGUGCGGUAGAGAACCUUGCUGGCUUGCUGCCUCUUUAGCUUGCCCUCCCGCUCCUGCUCUUCAGAUGUGUAUGUAAACUGCUCCGAAGUUCAUUGGAGAAAAGGCUCCAUGGUAGCAGCUAUAGCCACCAAGGUUUGUAAUAAUUUGAUUUUUCUUAUGCCAGUUUUUGUUGUUACUCUCUACGACUAAGCCUUACUAUUACCGCCCUGGGACUAUUGUUCUUCAAUAUGUGAAGCAAAAUACAUUUUAUUUUUACUAUUGCGCAUACUUGAAAUAAAGUAUGCUGAGUUAGCAAAUUAUAAACUUUAUGCCUAGCUUGUAGUGAUCCACAGCUAUACCACUGCUCGUUAGGAAGCUUUCAUUUCAUAGGGGAGAUUGCCCAGGAUUUCAAGGUGAGAUUUGUCUUCGUACUGUCAUUGUGCUCAGUCAUGUAAUUCCACGAUACCGAAAUCUACCUAGAAACUUCUCUCAACCUCCUGUUCUAUUAAUUAGUGCGGACUGAUCUGCGUUUUCAGAGCUAUGUGUAAGCAUACCUGCUUACUUUGUUGGAAGACAGAGCUGUGCGCCAUCCAUGCCACCGAAGGACAUUCAGCUGGCUUGGAGGAUUUACAGCGAGAGGGUUUACGUUCUCCGCGACAGCUAGGAUAUUAACGAUACGUAAUACUUGAAAAUUAAACUAUGCAAGUGUUGUAUUAUCUUGUUUUAAUUCUGUAUUCUUCCUCUUUCGAAUUUCACGUUCCUGAGGUUUCAGUAAUAUGACAUGCAUCUCCUGUGCUCUAACUAAUUCCAAUCUGUCAAAAACAUUUUAAGACU